CUUCAGCAAAGUAAGUUUACUGUGCUCUUUCUCCCCAUGGGGCCAUGUGCAGAGGCUGAGAGAGUGGCUGCUUGAUACUGUCCAUAGCCUGUGGUUUGUAUAAGUAGACCUAAAGGGCCCUGGAGACAAUC